rnacentral:rRNA from 1 species
UACGUGGGGUGCAAGCGUUGUUCGGAAUUACUGGGCGUAAAGCGUGUGUAGGCGGCCCACUAAGUUCGGUGUGAAAGCCCUGAGCUCAACUCAGGAAUUGCAUCGAAAACUGGUGGGCUGGAGUCCGGGAGAGGGUAGUGGAAUACCUGGUGUAGAGGUGAAAUUCGUAGAUAUCAGGAGGAACACCGGUGGCGAAGGCGGCUACCUGGACCGGUACUGACGCUGAGACACGAAAGCGUGGGGAGCAAACAGG